CAGGCAUGAGCCACUGCACCUGGCCUAUCUUGUCUUUUAAGAACUAUAGAGUUUUGUCUUUCACAAUUAGGUCUGUGAUUCAUGAGGAAUGAUUUUUGGGCAUGGCAGGGGUCAGUGAGCUACAGCCUGAGGGCCAACUCCGGCUGACCACUUGUUUGUGUCAAUAAAGUUUUAUUGGAACAUAGCCAUGCACAUAUUGAGUGGUUGAGGCAGACGCCAACUAAGUGGCUUUCCAGGGCCCAAACGACUGUGGCCCUUUACAGAAAAUAUGUGCUGACCCCCGGGGUAUGGUGUGAGGGAGGGUUCGGUUUUGUUACUGUUGCAUGUGUAUGUCCUGGGUCGCAGCAUCAUUCAUAGAGGGAACUGCUUUUCCCCUGGCUCCAUGGUUCUGCCCUUUCCUACAUGGGUAUCUACAUGAGGCUGGCCCUGCUUCUGGCCACUUCCUUCUCUUCUGGGCUAUUUGUUGAGCCUCUGGCCGACGCCACACUGUCUGUCACUGUGGCUUUAUGACAAGUCCUGCGUGGUGGAGCCAGCUGUACUAUCAUUCUUCACUGCUUGCACUCUGGCAUGAAUUGUGGACUCGGCUUGUCAAGUUCCACAAAGAUCAGCUCAGUAGACUCCUGGAGGGGAGCUGGCAUCUUGGCUACCCUGAGUCCUCGAGCUGGUUGAUAGGAACGUUCCUCCAACUGUGGUGGUCGUCUUUAAAGCUUCUCAGGAAAGUUUCAUGAAGGUCUCUGGAUGUCUUGGACUCUGUUAGAUAUACUUCUAAAUCUCAACUAUUUAAAAAAUAUUAUUGCAUAUGGUAUGUUUUAAAAUCUUUCAUUUUCUAGUUGUGGAUUGCUGUAGAAAUAAUGGAUUUGUUAUGUUAAUUUUGUCCUUGGCAGUCUUGUUUAACUCCUGUAAUCCUAUAGAUUAUUUAUCUCAUCAUCUAUGAAUACAUGCAGUUCUGUGUCUUCCUUUGGAACUCUUAUGUAUUUUUUUUUCGCCUUGUAAACAGGCCUCCAGCUCAUUUCUGAUGGGCGCUGAUGGAAACAAGAAUAUUUGAUUUUUCUCUUAAUGUCAAAGAGGCACUUUCAGUGGCUGUGUGAUGUCUUUUGUAGUUUUUUUUUUUUUGGUAGUUUUUUUACAAAUGCCUUUCAUUAGAGUUACCUUCUGUUCUUCAUUAGCCAGAGUUUUUUAUUUUGUCAUGAAGGAAUGAUUUUUUUUCAGAUUCUUUUUCUGUAUUGAUUGAGCUACACGUGAUCUUUCUCCUCUCUGUUGAUGGAGUGAAUUGCUUUGAUUUUGAGCAUUCUAUUCUCUUAUGUUAAACUUUGAAUUUCCAGGAUAAAUUCAGUGUGACCAUGAUGUGCUAUUCUAGCAUUUAUUGGUGGAUUCAGUUUGAUGAUGCUUUUUAUGAUUUAUAUAUCUAUGUGUAUGAGUGGGAUUGAUAAUGCUUUAUGAUUUAUAUAUUUAUUCAAGCUGUUUUGCCCACCUGCUGCCCACCUUCAGAGAGGGUGUAGAAAAGUGAUGUGAGCCCCCCAGCGUCCCCGCUUGUGCCGUGGGUCAGGCCAGCCCCGAGUGAGCCACAGAGCAGCCUGCGGCCAGCGGGGCUGGGGGUCAGCAGGGUCUGGAGGGUCUGCAGGCCUGGGGGCGGCGCUGGGACUGAGCAGGCCUCCGAGCACGGGGGCGCUGCCCUGUGCUCCCCGGGGCCUGCCUGCCUCAUGGCUGGAUUUCCACCCACCUCGGCUGAGCAGAGAGUGCUGACGGGGCUCCUUGCUCUCCUCUGCUUGGUUCUGAGCUAUUGAAAUAAUAAGGCAGGAAGCCAGAGACACGUGCCCACGUCUCUCCUCUGUCUUGUUAAGGAAAGCGGCGCUUCUGAUCAGAAAAACAACACAAGGAUCUCAGAGGCAGGACAGAGUGGGAUCCGAGGGACCGCGUGGUGUUUCUGGCCCCCUUCCCUCUCGAUGGCUGAUUAUUCAGAGUGUUCACACCCAGCAAAGGAGCAGGCUGCUCGUUCCCGACUGCAGCACGGCGUGCCGGGCCGCGGUGUUCUUUCUGGAUCACUGGUUUCCUCAGCAGCAGCGCUAACAGCCGCCCGGCAUGUCGGGCUCAAUGCAUCAGGUCUAAUCAGAUGUGGCAGCUGCUGAAACCCAAAUGCCUCCAUCCAACCAAAGCAUCUCAAUGCUGCCAGUGGUCUCUGGCUGAGCCGCCUCCAAUUCAAAUGCACGUGACAGGGUCCCUGGCUGCAACCCAGGUUGGAGAAUCCGGGAUUAGAAGGCUGAGGACUUCGGACAACCAAACCCAGGUCUCUGCCAGAUGGCUGGGCCUGGCUUCACCUGUGUGUGGGUGGGAAGGAGCCGUUGGCCAACUGGUCUCUAGAGAUGGAGACCCUGACCUGGGUCAAGAGUGACGGGAGAUGCCAGGAGGACCUGGCCAGGGCGCCGUCUUGGUUUUUCACCCAUUCUGUCUUCCUUCCCUGACCCAUGACUCGGGUUUCCAAUAUUUAAAAUACUCUCAUCCUGGACCCUGCAAUCUAAAGAUGAUUUUCUUGCAGAGGCUGAGUGAGCUGGCUCUGACCCACCAGAUGUACCGGGCCCUGAGCUGGACCCUGGUGUCCAGAAGUGGACACAGCCCCUGUGGGGCUCCAGCCUGUGGGGUUGGGGGGUGAUGAGGGACUCCUUCAAGAACGGAUGCAGUGCCUGGCAGGGCUGCAGGCUGCUGCCCACAGAGGGGCCUUUGCAGCUGUCCCUGAUGAAGUUGCCUGGGCACACCAGAGUGUGGGAGAGUGGACGGCGCGGCCCCUCCUGCACUUGGAGCUGCUCUCAGAUCUUGGGCUGUGACCCCUGUGGGUGACACGAAGUUCAGUGAUUGUCCUCCUUCUGGACUGAGGGACAUCCAUCCACACGCGCCCCCUCCACAGCCCGAUCCCAUCACGUCCUGCUCGUCCAACAUGGGCCUUAGAUCCUGGGGUCUCUGCUGAGUGCCUCCCCUCUGAACGCCCGGCUGGCACUUUCACGGUGAAGCCAGCUGUCAUGGACACCGACGGCAGGUGGCCUUUCUGCGUUGUCUACCGGCUGAUCUUGAAAGUGAAAACGGACAUUGUCUGCCCUGUGGUGACCGUGUUGGGUGAUGGUCCUGGGGUCAGGCCCUGCAUGCACCUUCACCCAGGGAUGGCUUCUUAGCUGACAGCGGCUCUGCCAGGAACCACGAUCACCCUCCAGUUUGCUCUUUGUGCUGAAUUUUAUUGACAUGAAAUUCGCAUGACGCCAACUUUAUCGUUUUAAAGUGAAUGGUUAAACAGAAUGCGGCACUUUCACAGGGCGGCAUGACCCCCACCUCUGUCUGCCUUCAGAACAUUUUCAUCCCCCACGAAAGGAGGAAGCGCAGUCCCCAGGAACAGUUACUCCUCAUUUCCCCUCCCCAGCUCUGGCUUCCGCAACCACGAAUCUGCUUUCUGUCUCCGUGAAUUUGCCUCUUUCGGAUAUAUUUCACGUAAAUGGAGUCCCGUGAUAGAUGAGCUGUGUCUGCCUCUUGCGGGCAGCACAGUGUCUGGAAGGUUCUCCGUGCAGCCGCAGGGGUUGGCGCUUCCUUCCUCCCGAGGCUGACCCGGCCCCGUCGUACGGGGAGUCCACUGUGUGUCUGUCUUUUGGCUGCUGUGAGCCUGGGUGUGCCGCCUGCUCCAGCCCAUGUUUUCAGCUCUUUCAGGUGUGGAGGGAGGAGUGGAAUUGUGGGAUCAUAUUGUAACUUUAACUUUGGAAGGAUCUGCCAAAUUACCCCUCUAAUUUGUUUUCAAUUUUAUUCUUAUUUCCCUGUCACUUGUUCUUUCUUUUGACUGGUUAAAAAAAAUGGCAAAGGUCUUCAGCAAAACAAGAAGUGAGUUUCAAUUGAACCGUGAAUUAAAUAUGAUACACUCAAAAUCUGACCAAUAAUACAUUUUAAUUUUCCCCACACAUUUACGUCCACGUUAAUUUCAUGGAAAUCAAGAUGCUUUUGCCUCUGUUCUAAAGUAUUUAUUUUUUUUAAGACAGGUUCUUACUCUGUUGCCCAGGCUGGAGUGCAAUGGCGCGAUCUCAGCUCACUGCAGUCUUGACCUCCCAGGCUCAAGCAAUCCUCCUGCCUCAGCCUCCUGAGUAGCUGGGACCACAGGUGUGCAUCACCAUGCCUGGCUAAUUUGUUACAUUUUUAGUAGAGACGGGGUUUCACCAUGUUGGCCAGGCUGGUCUGGAACUCCUGACCUGAAGCGAUCCUCCCACCUCAGCCUCCCACAGUGCUGGGAUUACAGGCGUGAGCCACCACGUGCAGCCUGAAAGUAUUUUUUUUUAGAGUUUCCUAAAAGUUUCAUCAUCCCUUUUGUUUUCCUAACAAGCUGUGAAACCCAGUGGGUUUUAAUUGUGAAUCAGCACCAAAACACAUGCAGAUUUAAUUUUUAAUUGAAAUGAUGGACAAUAAACAGAAUUAAUAACUCAAAUGCUUGAAGUCUGUCAAGCAUGGUGCUUUGUCUUUGCCAUGGACAUGAAAAAGCAGCAUUCCCCUCCGGACUUGAGGCUGGGGACCUUCUGAGUCAGAGCAGCCCCUCCCUCCCCACCUCCACGGCUGUUUCCACUUUGCCAUCUCCCCAGCGGGCUCUGCCCGUCCACCUGUGAGACACUCUGACUCCACGGCUUGGCUUCUGCUUGCCCCAGGCAGUGGGAUUCGGUGGCCAGGCCCUCAUUUGUUUCCCCCUCCUCCUUUCCCCAGCAGCUCCUGGCCUGGCAUGCAGCAGGUGCUCUGCUGGGCGAGUGGGAGGAGGGAGCAUAGCCACCGCUGCAGGUGGUCUGUUUGGUGCUGGGAGACGUCAUGCGUGUGUUGUCAGGCACUGGAACCCCCUGGGAGGGUGCAGGGCAGGUUUAGGACAGCCACGUGUGCCCAGAUCUAUGAGACCUUUGUGGGCUCGACUGAGUUGGGGGCUGGGCACAGAGCUUGGAGACCUCUUACUGGGAGCUGUGUGAGUGGCAGGGCCAAGGCUGUGGGGGCUGCAGGAGCUGGUGAGGAGGCAUGUGCUCGGCCGUCAUGGGACUGUCCCUGGGACUCCUGCAGCUGGGGUAGGCUCCAGGCAGGGCUCUGAGCUGCCCCCACACACCUCCAUGCAACCCCAGCUCCAUGUGCUGCUGGAAAGUCCCUGAGUACCAGGGGGGCACCUGGGGAGGGGCCUGAGUCCUGCAGACAGACCUGGGAUGGGGGUGUCAUCCACAGGUGAGGAGUGGUCCGUGCCAGGGACAGGCAGAGCCGCCAGCAUGGGCCCUGCUGGGAUCUCCGAUUGGGAAAACCAUCCCGCCACGGGAGGUGGCCAAGGUGCGUCCCCCAGCCUAUGCAUUGGGGUCCUGGUUCCAUCCCCGCCUCUCCUGUGGGCCGCACUCAGUGCCUUUUCCAUGUAACCCGUGCCGUGUGCGGUGCUCAGAGGAGGAGCGAUCGUCAUGGGGAGCUGCAGUGCCUUUUCCAUGUAACCCGCGCCGUGUGCGGGGCUCCGAGGAGGAGAGGACGUCACGGGGAGCUGCGGUGCCUUUUCCAUGUAACCCGCGCCGUGUGCGGGGCUCGGAGGAGGAGCGGUCAUCACGGGGAGCUGCAGCGCGUCUGGUGAUGUGGGGCUCACAGGCUCCUAAUGAGGCUCUCAGUCUUGUUUAUUGCGUUCUUGCUGGAAGAUUUUUUUUCUGAAACGUAGGCACAGAAUGAACUUGAAAUAUUGAGCUCUGCUUGAAAUAAAAAUGUCUUGAUAAUUAGAACCUUUGCCUGAACAGAUUCCUGUGGGGCUGCGCUGUGCAGGCUGGUUACGGGUGGGGCUCUGCUGCCCACCGAGUCAUUGCUCAAAGGCAAACGGGUCAAGCCACCGAG
rnacentral:lncRNA from 10 species